AAUAAACGAAGCAGAUACUCGUGACAAUCUACAAUUGUAAAUCUAAAAAAUAGUAAGUGCAAGCAAGAUAUUAUUUUUUUAAACUCAGACAAUUUGUUAAUAACGCUAUCUAUUUACAAUUUUUCAAGAAAUACAACAAAAACGUUUCGGUGAUCGGUAUAUUUGUAUACUCCCGAUAAUAUUAAUCACACAGCGAGUCUCUGCAGAAUCCUGCAAUUUACAGUAAAAUAUAAAUGAAAAUAUAAAUGUCGAUUUUUCUUGAACACUGUGUCCUCAUCGAAAAGUCAUGUUGACUUGGUGAGGUUCGAAUGUUGUAAUGAUGUAAUGUUCUGUAGAUUGAUGAUGACAUCACUAGUUGUUAUCAUAACGCCAUAAAACUGACAUUUUAAACAAAACAUUUCAGAGAUAAAGUCAUAGUUCGUGACUUUCGUGAGCGGUAGAAACCCUGCAAGAAUAACCAGACAAUUUUCCCGGUCUAUCAUAAAAUUCCGACUCUCUCCACAUUGUUAAAAUUCACUGACUAUUCCCGAAUUUACCAGCUGCCAGAGACACUCUGUUUAUGUAUUUCUCAGGGAACAUUGUUUAAUCAUCUGAGAAAAUACUAUACACCAACAAAGUUCUGAAUAGUCCAAUGAUCUGGUAUCUGAUGAUGAAGACUUGACUGCUGGAAUCUGGGGUCAUGUUCGUCUGAAGAGAUCAACAGAAAGUUGUCGAUGAAGAAGUUGAAAACGAACCUUUACAUCAAUUGUGCACGUGAUGAGACUGGCACUUUACCCAUUUAUAGGUGUCUCUGACGUCGAAACAAUGUAAAGGUUGUAGGGACAUUGGGGGAGGAAUUCCCUCCUACAGUACCAAAGUCCCUCAUAUUGCAAACUACCUCGUAAUGCGUGUCCUACAAUGUCGUACUGCAAUUCAACUACAACAUAAGGUGAAAACCAACUUUUGUUUAACCCUGGAUCUGGCAGUUGAAAUUCCUAUAAUGGCAGAUACUACAGAACCGGCAUAGUAAACAGCAUUUGGGAUAUCUAAUACAAUCUUAAAAUUUUCUAUUCCCAUCUCUAAUAAAUUCUUAUAAGAACUUAUGUAGCAUGAAAACACUCAGAACACAACUAGAUAACAGUGACAGUCGACACGACAGGAGUGCAACAAACUCAACGACAAACUACACCAUCUACAAGGAAAAUACGGCACUUCGACGUACAAUGCAACGCAAAAUGAAUCAAGACGAGCGAGAGAUGAAUCACGAAUCAACUUUUACUGCGACACAACACUAAACAGCUGAACACUAAAAAAAAAAUACUUUGUUUUAUUUAUAAGGCACAGUAUUGUGAUCAUAAAACUGUAGAGCUUUUGUACUUUCUUACAAAA